GCGCCGGUGAGUGGGUAAGGCAAUUCGGCCACAAAGCGCUCGACGGCGGCCGGUUCAAAUUCGAGCGCACGGCCCGGCUCGGCGCGCCA
rnacentral:tRNA from 1 species